CACACCUAUACCCUCUGACUGAGUUAGGAGAUGGAAAUCGGACGCUGUGUAAAGCCUGAACAAUGUGCAGCUGCAAGCACUCCUCUCAACCUGGACCCCUCCUGCUCCACACAGGAGAGGUGGGCUUCACAUUCACACCAAGCCAGGGCCAUCACCUUCAACCUGAAUGUUAAACACGGUGGUGGUGCUUCAAUUCUCUCCCGCAUUUUCAACAACAAUAUAGAGGAGCCUCAAGCUCGCUUUCAACACUGGUGUCCACCCAAUUUUGGAAAUCACGGGCCUAGGCAGUACUCAGAAUUUUCAGAGUAAUUACGAAGGUGCAAAAUAAAUUUUACUCCCAACAGUAACAUUGAAUUUUAUGUUCUUGAAAAUACAAG
rnacentral:lncRNA from 1 species